UUUUAAAUUGAGAGUUUGAUCCUGGCUCAGGACGAACGCUGGCGGCGUGCCUAACACAUGCAAGUCGAGCGAUGAAACUUCCUUCGGGA
rnacentral:rRNA from 1 species